UCUCUCCCUCUCUCUCUCUUUUGUGAGUUAUAGCAACCGUUGCCUUGUGAAUCAAGCGCCAUAGUCACCGUAGUCCUGGCGACUGUUACCCAUCAACAACAACUACUCCUCUCCUCCUCCUCCUCACCACCACCAUCUCCAUCACCCGCCACCGCCACCGCCACCGCCACAAUAAUCCACGGCCAAGCUUAUGACGCGUAGGGCGGAGAGAGAGUAGAAGCAGCCGCCGAAAGACAGAGCGUCAAAAAAAAAGGUCAUCAAAAUUAAGCCUCCAGGGAGCCCCCGACAACCGUAAAGUCGUCAUAGUGGGUGAG